UACGGCCACAUCACGUUCAAACUCUGGUUCUCGUACAAUCACCGGAGUUAAGCAACGUAGAGCCUGGUCUAGUACGUAGAUGGGUGACCGCUUGGAAAUAGCGGGUGGUG